rnacentral:tRNA from 2 species
GGAGAUAUGGCCGAGCGGCUUAAGGCGCACGAUUGGAAAUCGUGUUGAGGGCAACCUCUCCAGGGUUCGAAUCCCUGUAUCUCCGCCA